CUGGCUGGCCUGGCUUUCCAGUCCAGGGUUAACCAGUCAGUCUAGACUGACAGGCAGCUCCAAUCCAGCACCAGUCUUUAGUGCUGAGUUAGGUCACCAUCCUAGUCCAGGGCUCAGUGGGGCAGCUUGAGCUAGCAGACUGUUCCGCCCAGAACCUGAGUCCCCCACCUUUGGCUGGUCCACAGCUCCCAUUUGUUGGGUUCUGCUGGUUCAGUCCAUAGUCCCACUUUGGGAACUAUUGGUGGUGAGCACGUAAGGGCUUCUCUUGACCAGUCCACA
rnacentral:lncRNA from 1 species